GCUUCUGGGAGUGUAUCUGGAAGCGUCUCUGGGGCUGUGGAGGACCUAGCUGGGAGCGUUCCUGGGGCUUCUGGGAGUGUAUCUGGAAGCGUCUCUGGGGUUGAUGGAGGACUUGGAGGGGACGUGUCUGCUUCUGGGAGAGUAGCUAGAAGCAUUUAUGGGG